UAGUCUUCACUUAUUCACAGUGCAAUACGGGAGCUAUACCAGCGUCACUGUAUUACACACUCCCAAUACCUUCUCACACUAUCGCCUCUAAUCACACGUUCUGGUCUUCUUACGAUUGACUCGCUACAACUGAACUCGGUGACUGCUACAAUUCAACUGACUGCUUAGGCAUUCCAGUUCUCUUAUAAACCCUCAGCCAGACAUCGGAAAAUGCACCUCGCUUCCUUGUUGCGUAAUUGCCGUGUUUACAGUCAUUGGUGGGCAAUGCUGCUGAGAGUUGUUUAUUGCUGUGUAGUAACCGCGGUGUCCCCUGUUACAUCACUGUGGGAAAUGCUGUUAUGUCACCCCAAGGAAGGGGCGCUCACCGAGCACUGCGCAAUGAUGGAAGGAGUGGGGAUGAGGAGCGUUUAUUUGGAGUUGUGGAAGGUACAGACAUGAAUGAGGCUCUGGUUACAUCUGAACAUUAUCAAAUGUGGGAAGAAUUUGCUGGAGAAGAUGGAGACAUUCCUGGAUUCUCUAGAUUCACCCGAACAGUUGGAACACAUGGAACCUCUACUCAAUGACCAUCAGUCCCUAGGGCACAGUAUAUCCUCUGCACAGCCUGAGUUACAACAGUAUCAGGUCCUGUAAAGAUGGGUGAGGGUGUGGGGAAAUCAUCUUUGAUAUUAUUGCAAUGUUCAGUGUCAUGAGAAUCACAAAGAAGAAUGUCUGUGUGUGACUGGACAAGCCAGGGCUCACCAGGUUUCUAUAAUGAUUUUAUGGGGAGAGGUGGUCAGAUUCACAGAAGUUAUUUUCACACCAAAGUAGAUUAUUUUUUUUUGCAAGUGGAAGCACUGAUUCAGAUAAUCAUAAAAACAAAUGUAAUGUAAGAAUGCAGCUCAUUCUGCUUUGACUUCAAAAUAUGCUGCUUACGUCAGAAACUGUACUGAGUUUUAAAUCAGAAUAUAAUAUUUAACACAUAUAUGUCUAUCAAAACAAAGGAUACAACAUUAUAUACAAUAUCUCAUAUUCUUUAUAUAAAAGAAUUUUGUAACUGUUUAUUUGUUCACUUAUGUACAGAAUAUAUUCCAACUGUGAAGAUGUUAACCAAUUCUUUCCUUACAGUUCUUAUAAAAUAUUAAAAAAAAAACACACACACACAUAUAUAUAUAUAUAUAUAUAUAUAUACACACACACUUACUACUGCUGAAUUAUAUAAGUAAUGUGAUAUUAUUUUACAGAUGAUGUUUUUAUUACAUUACGGAGAGGAUCUGUGUGCAAUAUUCUGCACUGCCUUUAGAGAUAUAUAGUAUAUGUUUUGUAAACAUUAAAUGUACAGAUUAGAUGUAAGGCCACAACUGCAGUUCCUCAAGAACCCCUGAAACAGAGUGGAGUUAGCUACUAAACAUUCUUAACUAUAGAAAUAUUGUUUAGAAUAUUAUGAACAAUGAGAAAUGUU